UACGUAGGGUGCGAGCGUUGUCCGGAAUUAUUGGGCGUAAAGGGCUCGUAGGCGGUCUGUCGCGUCGAAAGUGAAAACUCAGGGCUUAACCCUGAGCCUGCUUCCGAUACGGGCAGACUAGAGGUAUGCAGGGGAGAACGGAAUUCCUGGUGUAGCGGUGAAAUGCGCAGAUAUCAGGAGGAACACCGGUGGCGAAGGCGGGUCUCUGGACAGUUCCUGACGCUGAGGCACGAAGGCCAGGGGAGCAAACGGG
rnacentral:rRNA from 1 species